rnacentral:rRNA from 1 species
AUUGAACGCUGGCGGCAGGCCUAACACAUGCAAGUCGAGCGGAUGAAGGGAGCUUGCUCCUGGAUUCAGCGGCGGACGGGCGAGUAAUGCCUAGGAAUCUGCCUUGUAGUGGGGGAUAACGUCCGGAAACGGGCGCUAAUACCGCAUACGUCCUGAGUGAGAAAGUGGGGGAUCUUCGGACCUCACGCUAUCAGAUGAGCCUAGGUCGGAUUAGCUAGUUGGUAGGGUAAAGGCCUACCAAGGCGACGAUCCGUAACUGGUCUGAGAGGAUGAUCAGUCACACUGGAACUGAGACACGGUCCAGACUCCUACGGGAGGCAGCAGUGGGGAAUAUUGGACAAUGGGCGAAAGCCUGAUCCAGCAAUGCCGCGUGUGUGAAGAAGGUCUUCGGAUUGUAAAGCACUUUAAGUUGGGAGGAAGGGCAGUAAGUUAAUACCUUGCUGUUUUGACGUUACCAACAGAAUAAGCACCGGCUAACUUCGUG